rnacentral:rRNA from 1 species
UACGGAGGGGGCUAGCGUUGUUCGGAAUUACUGGGCGUAAAGCGCGCGUAGGCGGACCUGCAAGUCGGGGGUGAAAGCCCGAGGCUCAACCUCGGAACUGCCUUCGAUACUGCGGGUCUCGAGUCCGGGAGAGGUGAGUGGAACUCCUAGUGUAGAGGUGAAAUUCGUAGAUAUUAGGAAGAACACCAGUGGCGAAGGCGGCUCACUGGCCCGGUACUGACGCUGAGGCGCGAAAGCGUGGGGAGCAAACGGG